AGAGGGAGGAAGGGAGAGCAUGAUGAAGGAACAAGGUGCAAUGAUUCUCUGCAUGAAUGGAGAGACUGGCUUUAAUUUGGACAGAGUGUCUCUCUGCAGUGAGAGGAAGGAAGGCUGAAGGUGUGGGUGCAGAUAUGUGUUAACAGGAGGUGGGGUUGCAGCGUCCGAGAAAGUUAUCUUCUGCGCAGAAGGAUGAAGGAGGAAGAGUUGGAGUCUGGAGGAUGGAGGCUCAGCCAGGAGACGGGACCAUCAGUCUUACAUCCUUGGCUGGCGGACAGAGUGGAUUUUCUGACAGGAGCUGUGUUAUGCACUGGGUAAGUCUGGCUGAACUAGUUCGUGCUAUGCUGCAAAUGUGUGAUGCAUUUUGUGGACUGCUACAGAAGAGUUGUUCUGAAUUGUAAAUAUCUCCUUAGUAAAUGCUUAUAAGGUAACUAGUUAGCAAGUUGGGAACUGGUGGUACUAAAUUUUACCUUAAGGUUUUUGGAGAAUCAAUAUAAAUUUAACAGGUAUUUAAGAGCAAAGGAAAUAUUUCGGCAGAAGGAACAAUUUAGGAUAACAAGAAAAAAUGAACCUGGAGUUCCCGUGGUGGCUCGGCAGAAACGAAUCCGACUACGAACCACGAGGUUGCGGGUUUGAUCCUUGGCCUUGCUCAGUGGGUUAAGGAUCUGGAGUUGCCGUAAGCUGUGGUGUAGGUUGUAGAUGUGGCUCGGAUCUGGCAUUUCUGUGGCUCUGGCAUAGUCCUGUGGCUACAGCUCCAAUUAGACCCCUAGCCUGGGAAUCUCCAUAUGCUGUGAGUGUGGACCUAAACGAACAAAAGAUUAAAAAAAAAAAAGAAAAGAAAAAGAAAAAUGAACCUUUUUUUGUCCAAUGCACUACUGAAUUUGGAUCACAAGUGGUAAGCUUUUUUCUGUGUGUCUUGCAGAGGGGCCAAUCAGCAGCAAAUACUUCUUGAAAAAUAUGUGGUGUAUAAUAUGAAACUUGUUUUUCAGAGGCGAGACUAUGUUGGAAUAUAUCCACGUGAACAUACAUGCAGGGCUUGGAGGACCCAGGAAAACAUAUAUUCAUCCACUGUUAGUUUUCUCUUUCACAUCUCCCACUCCCCACACUGGAAUUUUAGCACAACUAAAUGCCAAGAGUAUAGAUUUGUGAAAAAACUGAUUGAAUGUAGAACUGAUGUUACAUCUUAAAUGUGUCUGAGCUGCCAAGUAGCCUCUGGAAUGCAGCUGGCCAAACAUGUUAAAUGAGAGAAAGGGUACUCCAAAAUUAAUUUCCAGAGGUGGACUCUAAAAAUAUUCUUUUAGGGGCUUGUCUACAUAAGUGGCUUGGAGGAACUAACUUAUACUCAAUAAUUCAGCUAUCUAAGCAAUGGCAUUUCUUGAGCUGUUUUGUCAGUUUUGUAAAACUUGGAGAGCAUAAUUUUAAUUUUAAAUUUAUUUUAAAUUUCAAGUUAUUUUAUAAUUUUUUGCACAAAAGCAACUUCAGAAUUUUUCCAAAGUUUGUUAUCAUUGGGCAGAAGUUCUGAGUUUCUAAGGACCCUGGGAAUAAACAACAACCACCUAUAGUGAAUCGAAAGUAUGAAUCAACUAAUUCUCAUAUUGGGACAAGAAUGCAGCAGUUUGAGGUAGUUGAGCUUGAUUACUUCUCAUCCUGGAUAGGCUUCGUGCUUUCCCUCUGUCUGCCCAACUUUAAAAGGGACAUCCGAAUUGUAUUUUAGCCAAUU
rnacentral:lncRNA from 1 species